UACAGAGGUCUCAAGCGUUUAAUCGGAGUUACUGGGCUUAAAGGGUGCGUAGGCGGCGCUGUAAGUGCUUUGUGAAAUCCCAUGGCUUAACCAUGGAAUUGCUCGGCAGACUGCAGCGCUUGAGGUUGGUAGGGGUCGCUGGAACUCUAGGUGGAGCGGUGAAAUGCGUAGAUAUCAGGAGGAACACCGGUGGCGAAGGCGGUUCUCUGGGCAUUACCUGACGCUGAGGAGCGAAAGUGUGGGGAGCGAACAGG
rnacentral:rRNA from 1 species